UUUCCCCUUAAUAUACCAGAAACGUAAGCAAUUAUUUAUUUAUUUUUUUAACAUACCGGAAACCUCAUCAAAUGAAAGCACCUUUGGGCCGCUCUUGAUUCCCAAGAAGACCUGGUUUCACAAAGGUGCCAGCACUCAGAAUGAAGAUUUGUUUUACAUGCUGCUGGGAACCUACGGAGGCACAGAGAAUGGAUGCUCAAAAGCUGAGCAGAGGCGUUGGCCAGUAAUAAAAAUACUGGCUGACAUGUAGUGAGCACUUACUCUGGGCCGGGCACUAUCAGAGCUCUGUGCAAUAUUAAUUCAGUUUGUCCUCACAACAACCCUGUGAAAUAGAUACUAUUGUGCCCAUUUUAGUGAUGAGGAAACUGAGAUGUAGAGAAGUUAGGUAUCUCACCCAAGGUUGCACAGCUGGUAAAUGUCACAGCUGAGAUUUGAUGUUUGAUUGUUUGAGCUCCGCAGUGAAAUGUAAGACAAUAGGACAGUGGUGGGCAUGGCCGGAGUGGGCUUUGUGUGCUUCUGGGGAUCACCAUACCUUUUUAAAAGGUUGUUUGCAGUGGGGCCAGGUCUCUGUUGAGCAGAGGGGGCCAUGACCCAGCAACAGCUGUUUCCUCACUCUUGGUGGGAACUGGUCUGGACCCACUGGCUGAUAGGCUUGGGGUACAAUAUACUUAGUUUCAAGUUUAGUUGUACAGGCAGAAAACAUGCUGAUUCAAGAAGAAUUUGGAUUCCUGUAUUGGUUACAGAGCAAGAUCUAGCGUUAAAGGACAUAAGGUGGCUGUCCUUUUCAUUUGGGUAUCAAGGGGUACCAGACCUUCCUGAAACUUCCCUGUGGCCCAGCUCUCAGAGACAAGCCUGAGCUGGCAGACCAUACGUAGGCCUGAGGCAUUUUAAUUCUCUGUUUAUAGUUGAUGGUUAUCUUUACUGGUUAGAGGGUAACAAGAAUGUUUCUUGCUUUUCUGAACAAAGGUAACAAUUCCAUUCCAGAAAUACUUCAAGUUUUUGUGGGGUUUUUUUUUAAGUUUUCUUAUUGCAAAAGCGAUAUCCACUCAUUGUAGAAAAUUUAGAAAAUUCACUAAGCCAAGAGAAGAAAGUAGAAGCUUUCCCAACCACUAGUCUAAAAGUAACCACUGUUAGUGUUUUGAUUUGUACCUCUUGGCACACAUUUGGUACAAUUUUAGUUUGUAUGUUUCUAUUCUUCUUUACUCUGGGUUUAUCAACUCCCUCCCACCCCCAAAAUGAGGUCUUUUAACAGAUGCUGUUUCCUGCAAACACCCCUGCAGGCUCUCUGGAGUGAUAGUAAACGAUUGUUUUUACACAGGACAUCAAGCCCAGCUAUGACACCCAGCACAGGCUUUAACUCAUCAAAGGGCGGAGGCCCCCGGCCAGAAGAAAGAAGAUUCCAUAGGCGGCAGACUUUCCUCUGGAAAGUUCCUGUGCACAGCAAUCCCCGCUGACACUAACCAGGCCUCUCCAAGUGGCCUGGCUUGGGUCCCUCAGAAUUUGACAUCUGUGAAUCCCUUCUCUCUACUGCCCUGAUGAUUAACCAUAAAAAUGAGCUAACAAAAGUAUUCAUAGAAAAAUCAUAAAUCCAAAUAAUAUUUGCAACAGACCUGCUUCAGGAGAUACCUAGUAUCAAGUUCGAGUGCUGGCGAACAUCAAAUGUUUAGACUCAUGCAGCACGCCUCACCCGUCUGUCUGCCUCACUGCACAGUGUUCUGGAGCACUUGGAACAGUUCCACAUUUGACCUUCACAACAAUCUGGAAAGGCAGGGAGAUAUUAUAAUUUCCAUAUUACUGAUGAAAACAUUGAGGCUCAGAGAGUUUCAGUGACUUGUCUAAGGUCAGAGGACUAAUAAGUUAUAGAAUCAUAAAUUCUCAUAAGUGAGAGAGAAUCAAAAAGUUCGUCUAGGGCCGCCCGGUGGCGCAGCGGUUAAGUUCGCAUGUUCCGUUUCUCCGCGGCCCAGGGUUUGCCAGUUCAGAUCCUGAGUGCGGACGUGGCACUGCUUGGCAUGCCAUGCUGUGGUAGGCGUCCCACACUAUAAAGUGGAGGAAGAUGAGCAUGGAUGUUAGCUCAGGGCCAGGCUUCCUCAGCAAAAAAAGAGGAGGACUGGCAGUAGUUAGCUCAGGGCUAAUCUUCCUCAAAAAAAAAAAAAAAAAAAAUUCGUCUAAAC
rnacentral:lncRNA from 1 species